rnacentral:lncRNA from 1 species
ACUAAAAAUACAAAAAUUAGCUGGGCUGGAGUGCAAUGGCACAAUCUCAACUCACUGCAACCUCCACCCCCUGAGUUCGAGCAAUUCUCCUGCCUUGGCCUCCCGAGUAGCUGGGAUUACAGGCAUGAGCCACUGCGCCCAGCCGAGAGUUUUAAAGAAGUGGAAAGCAGAAGUGCUGAAGGGAGCCAUUGCCAGAGGGAAGAACACAAACUUCAAGGCCAGAUGCUCAGCGGAGCUCUCAGAACAGCCAAGCCAGGAGGACAGUCAGGAGGACCAUAGGCCAGGCCACCAGGAACCCUGAAAUACAAG